rnacentral:tRNA from 1 species
GGUAGCUCAGUGGUAGAGCACUUGCCUUGCAUGCCUGAGGCCCUGGGUUCGAUUCCUAUGAACCA